rnacentral:rRNA from 1 species
GACGAACGCUGGCGGCGUGCCUAAUACAUGCAAGUUGAGCGCUGAAGGUUGGUACUUGUACCAACUGGAUGAGCAGCGCACGGGUGAGUAACGCGUGGGGAAUCUGCCUUUGAGCGGGGGACAACAUUUGGAAACGAAUGCUAAUACCGCAUAAAAACUUUAAACACAAGUUUUAAGUUUGAAAGAUGCAAUUGCAUCACUCAAAGAUGAUCCCGCGUUGUAUUAGCUAGUUGGUGAGGUAAAGGCUCACCAAGGCGAUGAUACAUAGCCGACCUGAGAGGGUGAUCGGCCACAUUGGGACUGAGACACGGCCCAAACUCCUACGGGAGGCAGCAGUAGGGAAUCUUCGGCAAUAGACGAAAGUCUGACCGAGCAACGCCGCGUGAGUGAAGAAGGUUUUCGGAUCGUAAAACUCUGUUGGUAGAGAAGAACGUUGGUGAGAGUGGAAAGCUCAUCAAGUGACGGUAACUACCCAGAAAGGGACGGCUAACUACGUG